rnacentral:rRNA from 1 species
AGAGUAAAAUAGUACGUGAAAUUGUUGAAAGGGAAACGAUUGAAGUCAGUCGUACCGACGGAAAAUCAGCUCUUCGAGUGCGGACUUUGUGGACGUGCGUGAGCUUUAACGGCCUCGCUGUUUGUAACGUUUGUGCUUUUUGGGUGUACUUUUUCGUAUGGUAGGCCAACAUCAGUUUUUGAUCGCUAUAAAAUGACCGGCGGAAUGUAGCUUCGGUCUCGGCUGAAGUGUUAUAGCCUCUGGUAGAUGUGACGUUUGGGAUUGAGGAUUGCAACGGAUACCUCUCGGGGCUACCUGCCUGGCCUCUGAUGAUUGCUUUGGUGCCGAAAGCUUGCUUACGGUCAUUUAAGUUUGACGGUCAAAAGGUUAGAACGUGAUUACAUUCGUUAAGGAUGUUGGCGUAAUGGCUUUAAACGACC